rnacentral:rRNA from 1 species
CCUACGGGAGGCAGCAGUAGGGGAAUCUUCCGCAAUGGACGCAAGUCUGACGGAGCAACGCCGCGUGAGUGACGAAGGUUUUCGGAUCGUAAAACUCUGUUGUGAGGGAAGAACACGUACCAACUAACUAUUGGUACCUUGACGGUACCUCACCAGAAAGCCACGGCUAACUACGUGCCAGCAGCCGCGGUAAUACGUAGGUGGCAAGCGUUGUCCGGAAUUAUUGGGCGUAAAGCGCGCGCAGGCGGUUCCUUAAGUCUGAUGUGAAAGCCCACGGCUCAACCGUGGAGGGUCAUUGGAAACUGGGGAACUUGAGUGCAGAAGAGGAAAGUGGAAUUCCACGUGUAGCGGUGAAAUGCGUAGAGAUGUGGAGGAACACCAGUGGCGAAGGCGACUUUCUGGUCUGUAACUGACGCUGAGGCGCGAAAGCGUGGGGAGCAAACAGGAUUAGAUACCCUGGUAGUCCACGCCGUAAACGAUGAGUGCUAAGUNUAGGGGUUUCGCCCCUUAGUGCUGCNGCUACGCAUAGUACGACGUCCGCCGUCGGGAGGUACGGCCGGCGACGGCGUGUAACGUUACGAAGUAGUUAAGUUAGUACGGCGUUGAGACGNGCCGACGGACGACGACGAGGGAGGAGG